rnacentral:rRNA from 1 species
UACGUAGGGGGCAAGCGUUGUCCGGAUUUAUUGGGCGUAAAGAGCGUGUAGGCGGUUGGGUAGGUCCGUUGUGAAAACUCGAGGCUCAACCUCGAGACGCCGAUGGAAACCCCCUGACUAGAGUCCGGAAGAGGAGAGUGGAAUUCCUGGUGUAGCGGUGAAAUGCGCAGAUAUCAGGAAGAACACCCGUGGCUAAGGCGGCUCUCUAGUACGGUACUGACGCUGAGGCGCGAAAGCGUGGGGAGCAAACAGG